GGGGAAUCUUGGUCAAUGGGCGCAAGCCUGAACCAGCGAUGCCGCGUGAGUGAUGAAGGCCUUCGGGUUGUAAAGCUCUGUGGGGAGGGACGAAAGAAUCGGUUCUAACAGGACCGAAGUUGACGGUACCUCCUUAGCAAGCACCGGCUAACUCUGUGCCAGCAGCCGCGGUAAGACAGAGGGUGCAAACGUUGCUCGGAAUCACUGGGCGUAAAGGGCGUGUAGGCGGGUAGGCAAGUCGGGCGUGAAAUCCCUGAGCUCAACUCAGGAACUGCACUCGAAACUGCUUAUCUUGAGUGCCGGAGAGGAAAGCGGAAUACCUGGUGUAGAGGUGAAAUUCGUAGAUAUCAGGUGGAACACCAGUGGCGAAGGCGGCUUUCUGGACGGUAACUGACGCUGAGACGCGAAAGCGUGGGGAGCAAA
rnacentral:rRNA from 1 species